UGAAUAUCUUUAUCAGUCAAUUUAUGCUAAGGAAAAGGAAUUGCUUUCUGCAAAAAAAUUCCCAAACGAAAAAAAGUCUUCUACUUAUAUGGAUGUCAAUGAUUUGAAUGGAGCACAUCUUCCUUCAAAAAGUUUCUUAUCAGGAGCUAAUCAAAUAGAAGUUUUAUGUGAGGAAGUUGAGAGUGCUAUCACUGUGACCUUCGUCGGUUGUAGGUUCUUGAAGCGUCUGUGUGAUGUUCAGACCAGGAAGGAUAAUGUUUGGCUUUAUUGAGAGAAAUUAUGCUAUGACAGCACCAUGGGCCACAAUGGCGUGGAUAUAUGGCAGAAUUUUGGCUUUCCACUCUGUUCCACCGUCCACCAUUGAUAACACUAUGGUUUAGAGACAUUAUAGGAAUCAUAAACAUCUUGUCUGAGAUUUUGGUGCAUGAAGAACAACAUCGGAUUAGUUGGCAUGAGUUAUUCAUGCUAAUAGUUGUGUUUAACCUUGAGUUCAUUCUAGCUACAUCUUGCUUGCUUUACCUGUUAUUGCGAUAAAAUGUGAGCAGCUACAUUAUUGUGUCUAUUUAGAAACUUUGCUAACUCAUUCAAUAUGCAAGAAUCAUGAUUAGGAAGUUAAGAUAUGAUUAUCAUAUGAGUAUUGAAAUAGGUUGAAUGUGAAUUAUAUACUUGGAUGCAUAUCUAUUAAUACUAGUGUUAGAUGUCAAGUUAAACACAUUGUGGAGUUGUCAUUCCGAAUUCAGAAAAAAAUAGCUCUAAUUUGUUUGAUUUGAUAUUUUGUAGACGUGGUGAAAUCCUAAUGAUGUAAACAUCUAUUAUUUUGCGGUAUGUCAUCUAAGUUGUGAAACUUGUUGAUGGACAGAAUAAAUGCACAUGUAAAAAAUGAAUCGAGUUAUACGGAAAAGAAGUUUUCAAGGGGGAGUAGUAAGGCCACAUAAGCCUGCCUGCCAUCCACACCAGAAUAAAUGAAGUUUUCCGAAAAAACCUGAUAGUGGAGGAAGACCUCCUAAGGAUAAGAGACAUAGGAUUAAAGAGAGAGUCAAAUAAGAAUCUUUAGUGUAUAAUCCAGCAUAAUCUCGAACGUUAUCAGUUCCGGUACGUAGACCAAAGCCCAAAGUACCAAAUAAUGGUUUAGAAUAUAAAAACCUUCCUCACAUAUUGGGGUGGAAAGGGGUAGGUCCAUCUACUUUUUCGCAUCUAGUUAAAUUGCAAAAUUAGUCAUUCUUGGUUUUUGUUGUUGUGAUUAUAAACCAUGAGACCUUUAGCGAGAAUUUUCAUUCUCACUCUUGUUUCCUUUCCAAAUUAUGGCAGAGGUUGCAGAUGUGCAGAAAGCUUUCAACUGUCCAACUAACUGAAAGACUUGACUAUUCUAAUUUGCCUGGCCUGAAUCCCAACAUGAAAAAUGGAAGGGAUGGUAUUAUUGUGAGAAAGUUGAUGGAGGAAUCAAUUUUCAUGUGUGUAGUCUGAAGGAAGGAACACUUAACUGGGAAAUGUUGCAAUUCAAGCCAAAAUUUCCACGUCAAGUAUUGCUUUGCAGAGUUGGGGAAUUUUAUGAAGCUUGGGGAAUAAAUGUAUGUAUUCUUGUUGAAUAUGAGGUUUUAAAUCCUUUUGGCGGUCUGCAAUCAGAUAGUAUCCCGAGAGCUGGUUGUCCUGUUGUGAAUCUUCGACAAACUUUAGAUGAUCGGACACAAAGCGGUUAUUCAGUGCAUUCUUCAAAAUGAAACCCAAAUGGACUAAUCCCUAUUUACUCACGUAUGUUGUUUGUAAAUUCUCAUAGUGCCUGCCAUCUUACCAGUCUAUGAGUACAUGCUGCUAAUAAAUUUUGGUCUGAACACUGCAUUGUGGAGGAGGCAGGCUCAGGGACCAACUCAAGCUCGAUCCAGGAAACGUCUCUUUAUAUCUGGAUUAAAAGAUGGAAGGGGCAUAUGGACAGAGGUUAAGGCAUCAUCCAUAACAGUCAGAAAUCCAACUUGAAAUUGAAAAUGAGCAAUAGGGUUAUUGGACAAAUUCAGCUCUGCCCCUUGUUCUCCAGGCCUACUGUGAUGUUGAUUAUGCAUUUAACCUGAGAUGUUGGAAUCUUCACAUAUGUGUCCUGCGUAUUUCUUGGUCCUAACCUAGUCUCUUGGUGGUCUAAGAAACAAACCUUGGUGGCCCAAUGGAGCACGGAGGUAAAGCAUUUCUGUUUGACACGCAACAGAAAAAGUAUUAUGGCUGCAGUCUCUUUUCACAGAACUUGGGGUUGAAUUUACUACACCCACUAUCCUAUGUGCCAAUCUCAGUACUGUGUCACCAGCUCGUAAUCCCUUUCUUCAUGUUAGAACAAAGCAUGUGGGACUUGUCCUAUUAUUUGUAAGGAAGUGCCUGCCAUCUUACCAGUCUAUGAGUACAUGCUGCUAAUAAAUUUUGGUCUCAACACUGCAUUGUGGAGGAGGCAGGCUCAGGGCCCAACUCAAGCUCGAUCCAGGAAACAUCUCUUUAUAUCUGGAUUAAAAGAAGGAAGGGGCAUAUGGACAGAGGUGAAGGCAUCAUCCAUAACAGAUAGAGAUCCAACUUGAAAUUGAAAAUAAGCAAUAUUGUUAUUGGAGUAAGUAUUACAACCUCUAUAACUGUGAACGACAGUGUUUGAAUAUAGCUUCUUUAGGUGUAGCUUGAAUGUUUCUGGCAGUUCUAAAGCAAGAAUGUUGAUAUUUGAAUGUGACUACUUGCCAAUAAGUCGCUUGAAUGGACUUGCUGACCUGUAAGUAAAACGGACAACCCCUUUUUUUUCCUUACAGAUUGCAAUGACUCUCUUAUUAUCAUUUUUUUAACCUUCAGAUUCUUCUUAGAGAUUAUAGCAAAGGUUUUGAUAGCCUCUAGAAUUUCUUUCUUAAUACUGAAUUGCAGCCCUACCUCAAACUUUGCAUCUUCAUCAUUUUCAAGCACCUUAAAUUGAGGAAAUUUGACUUUUGGAUUAGCUUCAACAUCACUUCAAUAUGGAGUAUCUAACUCAUCAGAAUGUCCAUCUUCAUCACCAAAAUCAAAAUUUGUUGCAGCUGAAGUAUUAUGACCAUACAAGUCUGCUUCAUUAGUCUAAUAUGUGGGUCAACCUGUCUGUGUAAAUGUCUCAGGGUCAUGGUAUUCUGUCCAAUCCCAAUUUUCUUCAAAGUCACUAUCUGAAACUUCACUAUACUCACUACUAUCAUCAUCAUCAUCUUCCUCAACUUCAACAUCAUCACCUUGAACACUAGCCUCCCCUUCAGCCUCAGCCUCCAUCUCACCUUGAACACCAACCUCCCCUUCAGCCUACACCUGAACCUCCACCAAAGUCUAUUCAUGAACAUGAACUUCAGCCUCCAUCUGAGCUUGAACAUUAGUCUCCCCUACAGGCUCCACCUGAACCUCCACCAAACCUUGUUCACCAACAUGAACCUCAACCUCCACCUGAACCUCAACCAAAGCCUGUUGAUCAACUUGCCCCUCAGCCAUAAUUUCACCCUCCACCACUGCUUUAACUUCACCCUCCACCACAGCUUCAACCUGAGCCUCCACUCCAUCAAUUACAACAACGUCGUCAUCCUCAACAUCAUUCAACUUUUUUGAGGAUGUGUCAAUCACCCUCUGCUCAGUGCUUUUCUUGGGUCCUUAUACCAUAAGCACAUGAAUGACUUGUACCCGAGGGAGUUAAUCUUCUUCUUGAAGUCAAUAUAAGACAUAGUAUCCACAUCCCAACCCCAUUCUUCUUCUUCGAUCUGGCCAUUGAUAUACAGAGUAAAGGGCUGAUAAAUGAACAUCCCACCAUGGUGAAUUUUUAACCUCACUGUUUGUUCUUCGGUUGGCCUGAAAAAAAAUGAUAGUAAUAAGAAAACAAAAUUCUUUUACACAGUAAAACCCACUUUAUAUGUCCAUUCAAUAAAUAAAAAACAUGAACGAAAAGACAGCCCAAAACAUGAAUAAAAACCACAUGAACCAAACAACCCCACAAGAAAACAAAAGCCACAAUCGCGAGGAAUGCAUAAGGGACCACAAAAAAACAAAAACAUCCACACACCCCGUGGAGUCCAAAACUUGAAUAAAAAAUUAACACUCACGUGGAAAACACAUCGUGGACCACAUCAACCAAACAACCCCACAAAGGGAUCACAACCAUCCACCAUGGUUAUAUACAAAAAUCUUCAAUACAAUAACUUAACUUACCUGCAAAAGUAUUGGCGUUCCAUCUCCUUACGAUUAUCGUGAUGCUCACAUGCACAAAGUCACAAACCUUCCACACCUCCCCUCGUUCAAAAAGCAAGUGACGGUGACUUCCACUGAAACGGAAGCAUAAAAUCGCGGGGAAGACUAUCGUUCACUACUAAAAAAUAGCGCUUUAGCGACCGACAAAUUUCGUCGCUAAAUCAUUAAAUUCGGUCACAAUUAGUAUUAGUAACCACAAUAGCGACCGAACACAUUACGUUGCAAAAACCCAAGUCGCUAAGUUCAUUGUAACCAAAUUUAUUUUCGGCUGCUAUUUAGCGACCAAACUAGCGAUGCACUAAAAUAAUAAUUUCGGUCACUAUGGAGUUGGUUGCUAUUUUGCUUGGGACCAGUUCUGUAACCGACAUUGUCUGUUGCUAAUUAGGUCGCUAAUAUGCAGUUAUAUUUUAUAUUUAAAAUAAAAUCAAAAAAUAUUUGGUCUCUAUUUCAGUCACCAUCAUAUAAUUAAACUUAAAUAUAAACUAAAUUCAAAAGGAGUUUGGUCGCUAUUUCGGUCGCUAUUGAAUAAUCAAUUUUAAUAUAUAAUUUAAAAAAAGGUCAUUCGGUCGUGAAUUCGGUGGCUGAAUUUGCAAUAAAAUAUAUUUCGGUCGCUAAUGAGGUUGCUAGUAUAAAAUUUCUUUCAGAAUUUAAUGGAUAUCGGUUGCUAAUUCGGUCGCUAUUUAAUAUUAAUUUUUUUAAUGCAAAAUUAUGUUGUAUGUUUUGUUUUUCCAGUUACGUUUUGACCUGCUUAAUAAUUAUCAACUAUAAACAUAAAUUUUAAUUAAAUUGUAUGAUCAAAAUUAUAAAUAAAAUUAGACAUUCAUAAUGAGUAAAUAUAUAUCUUAUAACAAAGUUCUAUUUUAAAGAUUCAUAAAUUGCAAAUUCAAAGUUUUCAAAGUUUAGUGAAAUGCAACGUAAAAGUUAAUGAAGUUCAAAUUCAUAACUAAUGUGGCCUAAUUAAACAAUAACUAGAGUCAAUGAUCAUUUUCCAUGUCAUGAGGAUGAUCAACCUGAGUAUCAUUAACAUGGUGGUCUGUUCCAUUUGCUAUGGUAGGUGAUAGACUAGGAGCUGGUAUGAUAGGCUGAAUAUGCAAGUGUUGUAGUAUACGUUGCAUUCGCUCAUUUUGUUGACGAAUUUGCUCAUUUUGUUGUUGCAUCUGUUGUCGCAUCUCCUGACUUUGGUGGUCAUGAUUCUCCAUCAUCUGCAACAUCUUUUCCUCAAGUGUCUUCUCCUUAUUUGCCUUUGCCAAAAGCUCAGCAUUCAAUUUAUUAAUUGUCUCAUGCAUUUCCUCUAUUUGGUCUUCCACAGGAGCAAUAGAAGUAGAUGGAGCUGAUUUUGAGCAACUAAACCUUUUGCUCAAAGUACCUAGGCCGUACACGUUCCCCUUGUAAUUUGGACCUCCAACAACAUUCAAAUAUAUUUCAUUAUCAUUAACAGAAGUAACAGUGUUAGGGGAACCCUGUGUAGAUGUGCCUUCCUCUGUUGAACGUUGUAAGAUUUCAUCUCGAUGAUGUUGAUAUUUCUCCUUCAAUAUAAAGUGAGGUAUGAAGAUAAAUUGUUAAAUGUGUAGACAUAUAAGGAUUAAUAUUCAAGAAAACCAUCACUAACACAGGAAAAAAAAUAACUUUAAUCUACUAUAGUAGGCUUCAAAGUUUAUACUAGCCAAUCACAAACAUUUAACACUAACUAUAGAAAAGCAAAUCAAGAUGUGUAAAUAGGUUCAAGAGAUAUUCAUCAAAGGUAAGAGUUCAUUUAUAAUACCAGGCACUAUAUAUCAAAUAAAGUGAUAAGAUUAGAAGAAACAACUUACAGCAAAUUCACGGGACUUGUCAUUGACCCAUUCUCCCGACUUCAAUUUCUUAGUUUUCUCCAUCACCUCCCAAGCAGUUGGUGGUCUUUAAAACUCCUUUGACUACAUAAAUUUAAGAAAUUAAAAUUGUAAAACAUUUAAUUAAUUACACUAAAUUGAAAAUCAAUGAAGUAUACAUACAUACAUACAUACAUACAUACAUACAUACAUACAUACAUACAUACAUAUGAAGUAAAAUUACCAGCUUUUCAAAGUGAGUUGCAGAAGAUAUGGAACCACCACAGUAUGCUGAGGCUCCUCUAUGAACAGAUCGAUUCACCUUGGCAGUGGAGCUCUUGUUUAGGAAAUUUGUAAAACCCCAAUGUUCGUCCAAGGCUGCUCGAACAUUAGCUGUUAUCCACUUUCCUUUAUCUUGACCAUUUCUAAUCUUGUUCAUUGCAUUUUUUAAAAUACAUGAACCUUUUGUCUCAACUUUAAUCUAUGAAUUACCUAAGAAGUAUCUGUAUCUUCAAAAUCACUCUCAAUGUCAUUCUCACUUAACAUGCAUUCAUCCUUGUCUGGUUCGAUCAAGUCUAGUUGUUUGAGUAAAUCUGCAUCUAUCUCUUCUCCACCUCCAUCAACAUCCGCAAGAGAUUCAUUAAUGACAUCAGGGUCAAGUUCCAACACUUCUUGAAGCCCUACAAGCUCAUCAUCUUGGUAUGGAGCCUCUUGUUCAAUUUCACUUACUAUAUUGUCAGUGAUUCUGCUGCGAGCUUUUGUCUUCAUUAUGGCUAACCAUCCUCGAUGUCCCUCAGGAUAUGUUGUGUAAUAAACUUGUUCUGCUUGUUGUGCAAAUAUGAAUGGGUCAUAUGCUUUAGUAUAUCUUUUUUAUUGUCUUACUUCAACACUGUCAUACUUUUUAUCUACUCGUGUCCCUAUAUAAGGAGUAUUAUCAAACCUAUCACACUUGAAUAGAACUAACUUCAUCAAUGGGAUGCCAGUAUACUCUAAUUGAAUAAUAUCAGACAACAUUCCAUAAAAAUCAGAUUCUAGUUGGCCAUCAGUUCCCCAUACGUAAACACCAUAAUUAGAAGAAUUCGUGCCUUCAUUCCAACUAAUUGUUUCAAAUUUGUAUCCAUUUAUAAUGUAGAUAGGUCAUGAUUCAACUUUUCCCUUAGGCCCCCAUGCCAAAUUAACCAAUAUUGAAUCUUGAAUAUUAUUUUUUGGAUUUAGAACCUACAAAAUUUAACAAUUAACACCAUAUAUAACAUCGUAUCAUUAUGGAAGAAAUGUUAUUUCAAUAAUAUAUAAGGUAUUAACCUACAUAUUGCUUGAACCAUGCAGAAAAGUUGGAGGAAAUGUCUUGGUUAAGUUGAGCAUUCGAAGUAGUGGGAUUCAACUCCCUUAAAAAAUUCUCAUAAAUACUGGAAAAGAGAAAACAAAUUAGUCAACGUAAAAAACAUAACAUCAUUAAAAUAUUAAUUAGAGUUAUAAAAGUAUUAAAAUCAUCUUACUCUAAAUAUGGCUCAACCUCUGGACAAUUUUGAAGAACGUACAAGUGAGCAACAUGAACAUCAACUUGGUCCAAAAAAUAUGUUUUGGAUUUACCACUCGCUCUUCCUGGAUAAUUGAAAAUUGAUAUAGGAGGAGAAGAUGAAGAACCUUCAUCCGCAUCAACAUUUUGAGGCAUCCUAGUCCUUCUUGUUGCAAUUUGAUCAGGAUAGUAAAACGAGGCAAAGGUAGAUGUCUCCUCCACUAAGUACGCUUCACAAACCAAUCCCUCAACUCUAGCUUUAUUCUUGACUUUAUUUUUGAGGGAGUGCAAAAACCUAAAAUUAAUAUGAAUAAGUAUUUUUUUUAAAAUGACUAUAUGUAUAUAAUACAAUGGUGUAUAAAUGAUUACUCAUUUUAUACCUCUCAAAAGGAUACAUCCAACGAUAUUGGACUGGACCACCAAGUCUUGCCUCAUAAGGUGAAUGAACUGGAAGAUGCUCCAUUGAAUCAAAGAAGCUUGGUGGGAAUAUUUGUUCUAACUUACACAACAACACAGGUAUGUUAUUUUCCAUAAUUCUUAGUUGCUCAACAUUUAAAGUUGUCGAAGUUAGUUCUCUGAAAAAUUGGCUAAGUUCAACAAAUGGCUUCCAAAUAGGCUUUGGUAAUGAGUCAAAUGCAAUUGGAAGCAACUGUUGCAUGAAAACAUGACAAUCAUGACUUUUCAUUCCAUGAAUUUUUCUCUUGUUAAGAUCCACACACCGACCUAAAUUGGAGGCAUAGCCAUCUGGUAACUUUAGUUCUUUGACCCAUUUAAGAACAGCGAGUCUCUGGGAUUUGGUCAUUGCAUAAGCUGCCUUUGGUUUAAAGAACUUGUCACAACCAACAUCUACCAGCUCAAGCUCCUUCCAAUUACAUAUUUCUACUAAAUCCAUUCGAGCAUUGUGUGCAUCCUUGCUUUUUCCAUUGAUGUCCAUCACAAUGUUAAAGACAUUCAUAAACACAUUUCUUUUUGUGUGCAUGACAUCAAUGUUAUGACCCAGAAGUUGGGUUUUCCAAUAUGCUAACAACCAAAAUAUACUUUGUUUCUUCCAAUUAUGUUCAACACCAUAACCAGGAAAAUAUUUUUCUUCUUGCGACUCAAGGCAGAGCGAUAAAUGUGCAACUCUAUUCCAAACAUCAAGACUAGACAAACGUGGAGGAGGGGGUGAGGUCUCAAUGCGACCCUUCUUGAAUGACUUUUUAUUCCUCCUAUAUGCAUGAUUAAGCGGAAGAAAUUGGCGAUGACAAUCAAAAUAACAGACCAUGUGAAAAUUUAAAGUUGUGAAUGCCUUUGAUCGUUCCAUACAUAUGGGACAACCAAGUCUACCAGCAGUUGUCCAACUUGACAACAUCCCAUAAGCUGGGGAAGUGAUUGAUUGUCCACAUCAAAGCAGCCUUCAUCAAAAAAUUUUGCUUCAAUGACACAUCAAAAGUUGGUAUGCCAUCAUUCCAUAAGGUGCAUAAGUCAUCUAUGAGUGGUUGCAAGUACACAUCAAUCUUGUGCCUUGGAUCUGAUGGACCUGGAAUUAAGACAGUUAAAAACAUAAAUUCUCUCUUGAUGCACAUGCCAGGAGGAAGAUUGUAUGGAGUUAAGAUAAUCGGCCAACAAGAGUAAGUCUUCCCAAAUUGACCAAAAGGACUAAAUCCAUCUGAACAUAAUCCCAAUCUAACAUUCCUAGGGUCCUAACUAAAUUCUGGAUGCAUUCUAUCAAAAUGUUUCCACGCUUCACCAUCAGAUGGAUGACACAUGACAUUCGGGUCCCUCUGAUUUUCACUAUGCCAUCUCAUGUGAGAUGCAGUGGCCAUUGAAGAGUACAAUCAUUUUAGUCUUGGAAUGAGUGGAAAGUACCACAUUUUUUUUAACAGGAAACUUCUUUUCAAUCCCUCUCCUAUUAACCGUCAAGUACCAAUCAAUUUUACAAAAAAAAGCAAUUGGUUAUACUCUUAUCUGAAUUUUCUUUGUAAUACAACAUGCAUCCGUUCGGGCAACAAUCAAUUUUCAAACAACCGAGACCCAAUUUAUGCACUGACCUCUUAGCUUGAUAAAAAUUACUAACCAUAGUAUUGUUUUUUGGCAUGUUGUCGCCCAUAAGUUGAACCAUAUGAUUAAAACACCCUUCUGACAUAUUAUAAUCAGAUUUCAAGCUAAGACAGGCCAAAGAAGCUGACAAUUCUGAAUGAUGCUCGCAUCCUUCCCACAAUGGUGCUUGAGCAGUUGCAAGCAUAUCAAAGAACUUUUGAGCUUCAGGAUUAGGAUUCUCCUCCUUGUAUUCUGUCUCAAUUACACCCUGUUGUUCUAUGUAUUGGCCAAUUGAUGGUCCAGCAUGAUCCAUGAUCAUUUGCUCGUAAGGAUUCAAUUUUUUCCUUUGCCUACAACCACUUUCAUAGUAGGAACCUUGCAACACUAUGGGAGGAAAUCGUGGUAACUCUUUACCGUGUAGGCAUGGCAACGAAACCCGACCCCGUGAGAACCGAAUCGAACCCGCCCCAACUUUGACGGAUAAAAACCGUGUUGACCGGGUUCGGGUUUUCCCCGAUAACCCAAAACGGGGGCGGGGGUGGGUAUGGGAUUAUAGAUAUCCGCCCCGACCCCGCCCCGAACCCGACCCGCCUCAAUGUUAUAAUUUGAAAAACCUAAUUCCUAAAGGCUAAAUCUUAUUUUGCACUGCUACUGCAGCUCUCAGUCCUCACUCCUCACAUUGCUAAACCUAAAUCUUAUUUUGCAUCGCUACAGCUACUACAGCUCUCAGCCUCUUAGUCAAGGAGAAGUGGAGAAUGUGAGGCCGCUCAAGAGAGGACGCAACGAAGGUUCCUUCUUCUCAUUCAUUCAUUCAUAAAUUUAUUUUAAUCUCUGCUUAUUAGAUCCGAAACGCUUCUAGAUUUAAGUUUAUCGUCUCUAUGCAGAAAGUGUGAUUUAUGCGGUAGAUACUGAUGCAUACAAUCUACAUCUAAGAGAAAUAGUUUUAGUUAAAAAGCUUCUUAUGUGCUUUUUCCUUGUUUGGAUUUUUACUUGACCUGCUUCCUUUCAUUGAUUAAUAAUCAAGCUGAAAUUUUUUAUAUUUGAGAACUGAAAUAAAUAAUCUUGGAUUUAUUACAAUAA